AGUGAACGCUGGCGGUAGGCCUAACACAUGCAAGUCGAACGGCAGCACAGUAAGAGCUUGCUCUUACGGGUGGCGAGUGGCGGACGGGUGAGGAAAACAUCGGACUCUACUUUUUCGUGGGGGAUAACGUAAGGAAAGUUACGAUAAUACCGCAUCCGACCUACGGGUGAAAGCAGUGGAUCUUCGGAGCUUGCGCGGAUGGAUGAGCCGAUGUCGGGUUAGCUAGUUGGCGGGGUAAAGGCCCAGCAAGACGACGAUCCGUAGCUGGUCUGAGAGGAUGAUCAGCCACACUGGAACUGAGACACGGUCCAGACUCCUACGGGAGGCAGCAGUGGGGAAUAUUGGACAAUGGGCGCAAGCCUGAUCCAGCCAUACCGCGUGGGUGAAGAAGGCCUUCGGGUUGUAAAGCCCUUUUGUUGGGAAAGAAAAGCAGCAGGUUAAUACCCCGCUGUUCUGACGGUACCCAAAGAAUAAGCACCGGCUAACUUCGUG
rnacentral:rRNA from 1 species